rnacentral:sRNA from 1 species
AUAAGCUUCCGGACAGCGGCUGGUAAACUUGCUUGCCGAGACGUACAGACAUUGGACGGGGUAACAGGUAUGAGCACGCAGGCGUGUACGACGAAGUGCGAAUACCUGUCAGGAUUGCGGGAGUGCGAUGCACGGAGCAAUCUGCAGCUUAU